GCAGAAAGACGACGGUGUGUCAAUUUUACAGUCAUAACGGGUACAAGGACGAAGACAAAACAAAGAAAAGGAAAGCCCUGAGAACAAGACAUUCCUACGGCAACGUGAGUGUUCCAACCCAUGUAUAUGUAAUCUUCCUGUCUGUUGACAUGUCAGUUUACAUGAUGACACAGAUUAAAUAGAAGUUAUUCCACUGGAAAAGUCGAGAGUCAUGAAGCAAGCAAUGAGUCCAGUGCCAUCUCCUGCAGUAGUUGGACCUUCAAGCAAUUUCAGCUUGACAUCUGUUUUCUCUAUUCCAAAUCAUUGGUUAUUGAAAACCUCUUGAACUGCAUCGUCAAAGAGGUAGACAUGAAGAGAAAAAAAAUUAUAUGACUAUCUAUGGACUCCAUGAUAGAUACCUAUGGAGGCAGGCCAACUGACACAGAAACUCUGCAACUGACUGGGACACUGAUGGAAUUGUAUCCAAUAUUGAGGGAUAAUACAAACAAUGGAAUCUGGGAGAAAUAUGUAAUUGGGCAAUAGAACAAAGCUACACCAGUAUCCCGCGGCCAUGGAAUGACUUCUCCCGGAGUGAGGCUGAGUGAGACUGGAAGUUAAACCAGUGCUACGUGGUAGUUAAGCGAACCACUGAGUUGACAGAAAACUGAAACCUAUAGAGUGCCGCAUAGAUGUUAAUUUCAAAAUUCCCAGAUUAACAUUAGAUGUAGACAAUUUGCUGGAAAUCAACAGGGUGCUGUUUGAACAGAGUUUGGGUGUUAGUAGUAACACAGUAUUUGGCCCUGUUCCUUUAGGAUCUCUUCUCAGUUAA
rnacentral:lncRNA from 1 species